rnacentral:rRNA from 1 species
CCUACGGGGGGCUGCAGUGAGGAAUAUUGGUCAAUGGACGAGAGUCUGAACCAGCCAAGUAGCGUGAAGGAUGACUGCCCUAUGGGUUGUAAACUUCUUUUAUAUGGGAAUAAAAUGUUCCACGUGUGGGAUUUUGUAUGUACCAUAUGAAUAAGGAUCGGCUAACUCCGUGCCAGCAGCCGCGGUAAUACGGAGGAUCCGAGCGUUAUCCGGAUUUAUUGGGUUUAACGGGAGCGUAGGUGGAUUGUUAAGUCAGUUGUGAAAGUUUGCGGCUCAACCGUAAAAUUGCAGUUGAAACUGGCAGUCUUGAGUACAGUAGAGGUGGGCGGAAGUCGUGGUGUAGCGGUGAAAUGCUUAGAUAUCACGAAGAACUCCGAUUGCGAAGGCAGUUCACUGGACUGCAACUGACACUGAGGCUCGAAAGUGUGGGUAUCAAACAGGAUUAGAUACCCGUGUAGUC